rnacentral:rRNA from 1 species
GACGAACGCUGGCGGCAUGCCUAACACAUGCAAGUCGAACGGAGUAAGAGAGAAGCUUGCUUAGCUCUUACUUAGUGGCGGACGGGUGAGUAACGCGUGAGUAACCUGCCUUUCAGAGGGGGAUAACGUUCUGAAAAGAACGCUAAUACCGCAUAAUAUAUCGGUGCUGCAUGGUACUGAUAUCAAAGGAGCAAUCCGCUGAAAGAUGGACUCGCGUCCGAUUAGCCAGUUGGCGGGGUAAAGGCCCACCAAAGCGACGAUCGGUAGCCGGGUUGAGAGACUGAACGGCCACAUUGGGACUGAGACACGGCCCAGACUCCUACGGGAGGCAGCAGUGGGGGAUAUUGCACAAUGGAGGAAACUCUGAUGCAGCAAUGCCGCGUGAGGGAAGACGGUCUUCGGAUUGUAAACCUCUGUCCUUGGUGAAGAUAAUGACGGUAGCCAAGGAGGAAGCUCCGGCUAACUACGUG